rnacentral:rRNA from 1 species
GAUAGAGGGGGAUAACGUGGGGAAACUCACGCUAAUACCGCAUACUUCCUACGGGAGAAAGCAGGGGAUCUUCGGACCUUGCGCUAUCGGAUGAGCCUAUGUCGGAUUAGCUAGUUGGUGAGGUAACGGCUCACCAAGGCGACGAUCCGUAGCUGGUCUGAGAGGAUGAUCAGCCACACUGGGACUGAGACACGGCCCAGACUCCUACGGGAGGCAGCAGUGGGGAAUAUUGGACAAUGGGGGAAACCCUGAUCCAGCCAUGCCGCGUGUGUGAAGAAGGCCUUCGGGUUGUUAAGCACUUUCAGCGAGGAAGAAGGCCUGAGGGCUAAUACCCUUCAGGAAGGACAUCCCUCGCAGAAGAAGCACCGGCUAACUCCGUGCCAGCAGCCGCGGUAAUACGGAGGGUGUGAGUGUUAAUCGGAAUUACUGGGCGUAAAGCGCGCGUAGGUGGCUUGAUAAGCCGGUUGUGAAAGCCCCGGGCUCAACCUGGGAACGGCAUCCGGAACUGUCAGGCUAGAGUGCAGGAGAGGAAGGUAGAAUUCCCGGUGUAUCGGUGAAAUGCGUAGAGAUCGGGAGGAAUACCAGUGGCGAAGGCGGCCUUCUGGACUGACACUGACACUGACGUGCGAAAGCGUGGGUAGCAAACAGGAUUAGAUACCCUGGUAGUCCACGCCGUAAACGAUGUCGACUAGCCGUUGGGUUCCUUGAGAACUUUGUGGCGCAUUUAACGCUGAUAAGUCGACCGCCUGGAGAGUACGGGCGCAAGGAUUAACACUUCAAAUGAAUUGACGGGGG